UUGUUGCGUUAGGGAUUGAUACGGCAUCCUUUUUUUUAUUUCUAAAAAAAAGAUAUAGUGGAAAGCCCGCCCUUUG
rnacentral:sRNA from 1 species